rnacentral:lncRNA from 1 species
CCGGAGCGUUCACGAUUGGGAGACUUGGGAGGAAACAGGCGUCCCCCCUACCAGCCCCCUCUGGACGUGAGUGAUAGCGAGGAGAAGGAUCUCGAGGCCGACUUCUCUGAUUAUACGGAGUCUUCUUGUGAUUAAUGUUUCGUUUCGUUCGGUCCUGUCUUGUUUUUUUUGUUGUUUCGAACAUACUUUGACACUUAGUAUUUUUUGCUUUGGAUGUUCUUUUGCUUUUCCUUCCUUCGCCAUCUUCUCCUUUCGCCGUCUUCACUUGUUGCGUGUGUCAUUUCGAGGGGGCGGCCUAGGCCGUCCGGGUGCCCCCGCACGGUCUCCCGACCAGGGGGAACCUCGACUGGCCUUUUCGGCGAGCCCCCUUUGUUUUCGUUCUCUGGUUCCCAACUCGUCUGUGUCGUGGGGGGUCGGGUGUUGCCUCCCCCUUCCUGACACUUAGAGUUUUUUUUCCCACAAUGUAUCGCUUUCGUAUUCUUACUUAUUGCGCUUUUCCUUUGAGAGGGCGUCCUGGGCCGUUCGAACGUUCCCGCGUGGUCUUUCGACCUUGGGAACCUUCUGCUGGCCUUUUCGGUGGGCUCCCCCUUAAAUUUUUUUUUUUUUUUUUUUUGGAGGUCGGCUGGGCUGUCUUUCGAUUAACGGGGGCACUCCGGGUGCCUUUCAUUGGGCAUCGCGUACUGUGGUCGGGUGGCCCAAUAUUACAUAUG